rnacentral:rRNA from 1 species
AUUGAACGCUGGCGGCAGGCCUAACACAUGCAAGUCGAGCGAGAGGCGGACGGGUGAGUAAUGUCUGGGAAACUGCCUGAUGGAGGGGGAUACCUACUGGAAACGGUAGCUAAUACCGCCUACCUUCAGAUGUGCCCAGAUGUGAUUAGAUCGUGGUGGGGGUAAUGGCUCACCUAGGCGACGAUUCCUAGCUGGUCUGAGAGGAUGACCAGCCACACUGGAACUGAGACACGGUCCAGACUCCUACGUGUGGCAGCAUUGGGGAAUAUUGCACAACGGUCGCAAGCCUGAUGCAGCCAUGCCGCGUGUCUGAAGAAGGCCUUCGGGUUGUAAAGUACGUUCAGCGAGGAGGCGUUACUCGCAGAAGAAGCACCGGCUAACUCCGUGCCAGCAGCCGCGGUAAUUC